rnacentral:rRNA from 1 species
CGGCCGCGGGAAUUCGAUUAGAGUUUGAUCAUGGCUCAGAUUGAACGCUGGCGGCAGGCCUAACACAUGCAAGUCGAGCGGUAGAGAGGUGCUUGCACCUCUUGAGAGCGGCGGACGGGUGAGUAAUGCCUAGGAAUCUGCCUGGUAGUGGGGGAUAACGCUCGGAAACGGACGCUAAUACCGCAUACGUCCUACGGGAGAAAGCAGGGGACCUUCGGGCCUUGCGCUAUCAGAUGAGCCUAGGUCGGAUUAGCUAGUUGGUGAGGUAAUGGCUCACCAAGGCGACGAUCCGUAACUGGUCUGAGAGGAUGAUCAGUCACACUGGAACUGAGACACGGUCCAGACUCCUACGGGAGGCAGCAGUGGGGAAUAUUGGACAAUGGGCGAAAGCCUGAUCCAGCCAUGCCGCGUGUGUGAAGAAGGUCUUCGGAUUGUAAAGCACUUUAAGUUGGGAGGAAGGGCAUUAACCUAUACGUUAGUGUUUUGACGUUACCGACAGAAUAAGCACCGGCUAACUCUGUGCCAGCAGCCGCGGUAAUACGAAUCACUAGUGAAUUCGCGGCCGCCUGCAGGUCGACCAUAUGG